GAGUCGAUGGUUCAAUGAGUAGAAUCUUUGCCUCUUAUGCAGGUGAUCCGAGUUCGAUUCCCAGUCGACGCA
rnacentral:tRNA from 1 species